UACGGGGGGGGCAAGCGUUGUUCGGAAUUACUGGGCGUAAAGGGUUUGUAGGUGGCUUGCUAAGUCAGACGUGAAAUCCCUCAGCUUAACUGGGGAACUGCGUCUGAGACUGGUGAGCUUGAGUGCAGGAGAGGAACGCGGAAUUCCAGGUGUAGCGGUGAAAUGCGUAGAGAUCGGGAGGAAGGCCGGUGGCGAAGGCGGCGCUCUGGAACAUUUCUGACGCUGAGGCUCGAAAGCGUGGGGAGCAAACAGG
rnacentral:rRNA from 1 species